rnacentral:rRNA from 1 species
GACGAACGCUGGCGGCGUGCUUAACACAUGCAAGUCGAACGAAAAGGCCCUGCUUUUGCGGGGUGCUCGAUAGGCGAACGGGGGAGUAACACGUGAGGAACCCGCCCUUGACUUUGGGAGAACUCCAGGAAACUGGGGCUAAUACCGGAUAGGAUCUCUUGCUGCAUGGGGGGGGUUGGAAAGUUUCGGCGGUGUGGGAUGGCUUCGCGGCUUAUCAGCUUGUUGGGGGAGUAGUGGCUUACAAGGGCUUUGGCGGGUAGCCGGCCUUGGAGGGUGGCCGGCGACAUUAGUCCUGAGGUACGGACCAGACUCCUACGGGAGGCAGCAGUGGGGAACAUUGCGCAGUGGGCGCGAGCGUGUUGCGGAGGCGCCGCGUGCGUAAUGACGGCCUUCGAGUUGUAAACCAAUUUCGCCUGUGCCGAAGCGUGAGUGACGGUAAUGGGUAAGGAAGCACCGGCUAACUACGUG